rnacentral:sRNA from 1 species
AUAUACGAUUUGUACCGCAGACAGCAGGAGUGGAUUACCACUUAAUAUUCCUGCCGAGGGACAAGACGCUCUUUUUAACAGUAAAAAGAUGACGACUUUCCAACCCUCCGUCUGCCAGUCAGAUCGGAGGGUUUUUUAU